rnacentral:piRNA from 1 species
UCUCAUUACAGACAUGAAUGGCAGCCUA